AGCGAACGCUGGCGGCAGGCCUAACACAUGCAAGUCGAACGAACCUUUCGGGGUUAGUGGCGGACGGGUGAGUAACACGUGGGAACGUGCCUUUAGGUUCGGAAUAACUCAGGGAAACUUGUGCUAAUACCGAAUGUGCCCUUCGGGGGAAAGAUUAUCGCCUUUAGAGGGCCCGCGUCUGAUUAGCGAGUUGGUUGAGGUAAUGGGUACACAAGGCGACGAUCAGUAGCUGGUCUGGGAGGAUGGUCAGCCACAUUGGGACUGUGACACGGCCCAAACUCCUACGGGAGGCAGCAGUGGGGAAUCUUGCGCAAUGGGCGAAAGCCUGACGCAGCCAUGCCGCGUGAAUGAUGAAGGUCUUAGGAUUGUAAAAUUCUUUCACCGGGGACGAUAAUGACGGUACCCGGAGAAGAAGCCCCGGCUAACUUCGUGCCAGCCGCCGCUGUAA
rnacentral:rRNA from 1 species